UACGAAGGUGGCAAGCGUUGUUCGGAUUUACUGGGCGUACAGGGAGCGUAGGCGGUUGGGUAAGCCCCUUCGUGAAAUCUCCGGGGCCUAACCCGGAAAGUGCGGAGGGGACUGCUCGGCUAGAGGAUGGGAGAGGAGCGCGGAAUUCCCGGUGUAGCGGUGAAAUGCGUAGAGAUCGGGAGGAAGGCCGGUGGCGAAGGCGGCGCUCUGGAACAUUUCUGACGCUGAGGCUCGAAAGCGUGGGGAGCAAACAGG
rnacentral:rRNA from 1 species